GUAAGCGUGCGCAGGCGGUUUUGUAAGUCAGAUGUGAAAUCCCCGAGCUCAACUUGGGAACUGCGUUUGAAACUACAAGACUAGAAUAUGUCAGAGGGGGGUAGAAUUCCACGUGUAGCAGUGAAAUGCGUAGAGAUGUGGAGGAAUACCAAUGGCGAAGGCAGCCCCCUGGGAUAAUAUUGACGCUCAUGCACGAAAGCGUGGGGAGCAAACAGGAUUAGAUACCCUGGUAGUCCACGCCCUAAACGAUGUCUACUAGUUGUUGGUGGAGUAAAAUCCAUGAGUAACGCAGCUAACGCGUGAAGUAGACCGCCUGGGGAGUACGGUCGCAAGAUUAAAACUCAAAUGAAUUGACGGGGGCCCGCACAAGCGGUGGAUUAUGUGGAUUAAUUCGAUGCAACGCGAAAAACCUUACCUGGCCUUGACAUGUAACGAACUUUCCAGAGAUGGAUUGGUGCUCGAAAGAGAGCGUUAACACAGGUGCUGCAUGGCUGUCGUC
rnacentral:rRNA from 1 species